rnacentral:rRNA from 1 species
UACGUAGGGUGCAAGCGUUGUCCGGAAUUAUUGGGCGUAAAGAGCUCGUAGGCGGUCUGUCGCGUCGGCUGUGAAAACCCGGAGCUCAACUCCGGGCCUGCAGUCGAUACGGGCAAACUGGAGUGUUGCAGGGGAGACUGGAAUUCCUGGUGUAGCGGUGAAAUGCGCAGAUAUCAGGAGGAAUACCGGUGGCGAAGGCGGGUCUCUGGGCCGAUACUGACGCUGAGGAGCGAAAGCGUGGGGAGCGAACAGG